rnacentral:rRNA from 1 species
GACGAACGCUGGCGGCGUGCCUAAUACAUGCAAGUAGAACGCUGAAGGAGGAGCUUGCUUCUCUGGAUGAGUUGCGAACGGGUGAGUAACGCGUAGGUAACCUGCCUGGUAGCGGGGGAUAACUAUUGGAAACGAUAGCUAAUACCGCAUAAGAGUAGAUGUUGCAUGACAUUUGCUUAAAAGGUGCAAUUGCAUCACUACCAGAUGGACCUGCGUUGUAUUAGCUAGUUGGUGAGGUAACGGCUCACCAAGGCGACGAUACAUAGCCGACCUGAGAGGGUGAUCGGCCACACUGGGACUGAGACACGGCCCAGACUCCUACGGGAGGCAGCAGUAGGGAAUCUUCGGCAAUGGACGGAAGUCUGACCGAGCAACGCCGCGUGAGUGAAGAAGGUUUUCGGAUCGUAAAGCUCUGUUGUAAGAGAAGAACGAGUGUGAGAGUGGAAAGUUCGCACUGUGA